rnacentral:lncRNA from 1 species
AGUUGAACCUCCACAUGGAGAAAGAAAGACUGAAGAGGGCUGAAGAGCUGGAUUCCCUUCGAGGUCGACAAAGUCAACUCCAGGCCCAGGUAGAGAUGUGUAAGGAGAAGAUCGCUUUGGUGGAGGCCAGAGAGCAGAAGCUCCAGGACCAGAAUCAAAGGCUGCAGAGUGAGCUGGACAAGGAACAGGAAGAGGUGAAGAGGCUGCAGCUGUUGUUGACCACUCGGGGAACGCUGUAUAAUCACGAGCUGAAGAAGAAGGAGCAAGAGCUACGGAAGCUCAAAGAGAGAGUCCAGCUGGGAGAACGGAGGGACAAAAGGGC